UACGAAGGGGGCUAGCGUUGCUCGGAAUUAUUGGGCGUAAAGGGCGCGUAGGCGGCUCUGCACGUCCGUUGUGAAAUCGCCCGGCUCAACUGGGCGGGGUCAGCGGAUACGGCGGAGCUUGAGCAAGCUAGGGGGCAAUGGAAUUCCCGGUGUAGUGGUGGAAUGCGUAGAUAUCGGGAGGAACACCAGUGGCGAAGGCGGCCGGCUGGGGGUGACCUGACGCUGAGGCGCGAAAGCGUGGGGAGCGAACCGG
rnacentral:rRNA from 1 species